rnacentral:rRNA from 1 species
UAGGGAAUCUUCGGCAAUGGGGGCAACCCUGACCGAGCAACGCCGCGUGAGUGAAGAAGUUUUUCGGAUCGUAAAGCUCUGUUGUAAGAGAAGAACGUGUGUGAGAGUGGAAAGUUCACACAGUGACGGUAACUUACCAGAAAGGGACGGCUAACUACGUGCCAGCAGCCGCGGUAAUACGUAGGUCCCGGGCGCUGUCCGGAUUUAUUGGGCGUAAAGCGAGCGCAGGCGGUUUAAUAAGUCUGAAGUUAAAGGCAGUGGCUUAACCAUUGUUCGCUUUGGAAACAGUUAAACUUGAGUGCAGAAGGGGAGGAUGGAAGUCCAUGUGUAGCGGUGAAAUGCGUAGAUAUAUGGAGGAACACCGGUGGCGAAAGCGGCGCUCUGGUCUGUAACUGGCGCUGAGGCUCGAAAGCGUGGGGAGCAAACAGG